GACGAACGCUGGCGGCGUGCUUAACACAUGCAAGUCGAACGGAAAGGCCCUGCUUUUGUGGGGUGCUCGAGUGGCGAACGGGUGAUUAACACGUGAGUAACCUGCCCUUGACUUUGGGAUAACUUCAGGAAACUGUGGCUAAUACCUGCUAGGCGCUCCUGCUGCAUGGUGGGGGUUGGAAAGCUUCGGCGGUUGGGGAUGGACGCGCGGCUUAUCAGCUUGUUGGCGGGGUAGUGUCUUACCAAUGCUUUGACGGGUAGCCGGGCUGAGAGGGUGACCGGCCACGUUGUGACCAAGAUACGGAUCGGUAUACACAUGGAAGCAGAAGUGAAGAAAAUUGCCAAGGGGCAGGACGCCUCAAGCAGCAACCCCGCGUGCGGGAGAAGGGGCUUCUGGUGGUAUACCGCCUUCGCCUGUGACGAAGCGUGAGCGACGGUAAUGGGUAAAGAAGCACCGGCUAACUACGUG
rnacentral:rRNA from 1 species